rnacentral:rRNA from 1 species
CCCAUGUCGAUUUGGGAGGUUGUGCCCUUGAGGCGUGGCUUCCGGAGCUAACGCGUUAAAUCGACCGCCUGGGGAGUACGGCCGCAAGGUUAAAACUCAAAUGAAUUGACGGGGGCCCGCACAAGCGGUGGAGCAUGUGGUUUAAUUCGAUGCAACGCGAAGAACCUUACCUGGUCUUGACAUCCACAGAACUUUCCAGAGAUGGAUUGGUGCCUUCGGGAACUGUGAGACAGGUGCUGCAUGGCUGUCGUCAGCUCGUGUUGUGAAAUGUUGGGUUAAGUCCCGCAACGAGCGCAACCCUUAUCCUUUGUUGCCAGCGGUUAGGCCGGGAACUCAAAGGAGACUGCCAGUGAUAAACUGGAGGAAGGUGGGGAUGACGUCAAGUCAUCAUGGCCCUUACGACCAGGGCUACACACGUGCUACAAUGGCGCAUACAAAGAGAAGCGACCUCGCGAGAGCAAGCGGACCUCAUAAAGUGCGUCGUAGUCCGGAUUGGAGUCUGCAACUCGACUCCAUGAAGUCGGAAUCGCUAGUAAUCGUAGAUCAGAAUGCUACGGUGAAUACGUUCCCGGGCCUUGUACACACCGCCCGUCACACCAUGGGAGUGGGUUGCAAAAGAAGUAGGUAGCUUAACCUUCGGGAGGGCGCUUACCACUUUGUGAUUCAUGACUGGGGUGAAGUCGUAACAAGGGUAACCGUAAGAGUGUGCUCGCAAGUGCUCGUUAAG